ACAUGCCUACAACAUAGCGUUAAUGCAUUGGAUCCCAUUAGAACUUCGUAGUUAAGCGCGCUCAGGCUAGAGUAGUACUGGGAUGGGUGAUCACCUGGGAAGUCCUAGUGUUUCACAUGCC
rnacentral:rRNA from 1 species